rnacentral:rRNA from 1 species
UACGGGGGGAGCAAGCGUUGUUCGGAUUUACUGGGCGUAAAGGGCGCGUAGGCGGUCGUGACAAGUCACUUGUGAAAUCUCCGGGCUUAACUCGGAACGGUCAAGUGAUACUGUCGUGCUAGAGUGCGGAAGGGGCUACUGGAAUUCUCGGUGUAGCGGUGAAAUGCGUAGAUAUCGAGAGGAACACCUGCGGCGAAGGCGGGUAGCUGGGCCGACACUGACGCUGAUGCGCGAAAGCGUGGGGAGCGAACAGG